AGUGAACGCUGGCGGUAGGCCUAACACAUGCAAGUCGAACGGCAGCACAGUAAGAGCUUGCUCUUACGGGUUGCGAGUGGCGGACGGGUCAGGAAUACAUCGGAAUCUACUUUUUCGUGGGGGAUAACGUAGGGAAACUUACGCUAAUACCGCAUACGACCUACGGGUGAAAGCAGGGGAUCGUCUGACCUUGCGCGAUUGAAUGAGCCGAUGUCGGAUUAGCUAGUUGGCGGGGUAAAGGCCCACCAAGGCGACGAUCCGUAGCUUGUCUGAGAGAAUGAUAGGCAGCACUGGAGCUGAGCCAGGGUCCAGACUCCUACGGGAGGGAGCAGUGGGGAAUAUUGGACAAUGGUCGCAAGCCUGGUCCAGCCAUACCGCGUGGGUGAAGAAGGCCUUCGGGUUGUAAAGCCCUUUUGUUGGGAAAGAAAAGCAGCAGGUUAAUACCCCGCUGUUCUGACGGUACCCAAAGAAUAAGCACCGGCUAACUUCGUG
rnacentral:rRNA from 1 species